AUUGAACGCUGGCGGCAGGCUUAACACAUGCAAGUCGAGCGGGGUGAUGGUGCUUGCACUAUCACUUAGCGGCGGACGGGUGAGUAAUGCUUAGGAAUCUGCCUAUUAGUGGGGGACAACAUCUCGAAAGGGAUGCUAAUACCGCAUAUGUCCUACGGGAGAAAGCAGGGGAUCACUUGUGACCUUGCGCUAAUAGAUGAGCCUAAGUCGGAUUAGCUAGUUGGUGGGGUAAAGGCCUACCAAGGCGACGAUCUGUAGCGGGGCGGAGAGGAUGAUCCGCCACACUGGGACUGAGACACUGCCCAGACUCCUACGGGAGGCAGCAGUGGGGAAUAUUGGACAAUGGGGUGAACCCUGAUCCAGCCAUGCCGCGUGUGUGAAGAAGGCCUUAUGGUUGUAAAGCACUUUAAGCGAGGAGGAGGCUCUUUUGGUUAAUACCCAAGAUGAGUGGACGUUACUCGCAGAAUAAGCACCGGCUAACUCUGUGCCAGCCGCCGCAGUAA
rnacentral:rRNA from 1 species